rnacentral:rRNA from 1 species
AUUGAACGCUGGCGGCAUGCCUUACACAUGCAAGUCGAACGGUAACGGGUCCUUCGGGUGCCGACGAGUGGCGAACGGGUGAGUAAUAUAUCGGAACGUGCCCAGUAGUGGGGGAUAACUGCUCGAAAGAGCAGCUAAUACCGCAUACGACCUGAGGGUGAAAGGGGGGAGUCGCAAGACCUCUCGCUAUUGGAGCGGCCGAUAUCAGAUUAGCUAGUUGGUGGGGUAAAGGCCUACCAAGGCAACGAUCUGUAGUUGGUCUGAGAGGACGACCAGCCACACUGGGACUGAGACACGGCCCAGACUCCUACGGGAGGCAGCAGUGGGGAAUUUUGACAAUGGGCGCAAGCCUGAUCCAGCAAUGCCGCGUGCAGGAAGAAGGCC